GCGCCCGUAGCUCAGCUGGAUAGAGUACUUGACUACGAAUCAAGGGGUCGCCUGUUCGAAUCGGGCCGGGCGCGCCA
rnacentral:tRNA from 1 species